GAUGAACGCUGGCGGCGUGCCUAAUACAUGCAAGUCGAGCGAACAGAUGAGGAGCUUGCUCCUCUGACGUUAGCGGCGGACGGGUGAGUAACACGUGGAUAACCUACCUAUAAGACUGGGAUAACUUCGGGAAACCGGAGCUAAUACCGGAUAAUAUAUUGAACCGCAUGGUUCAAUAGUGAAAGACGGUUUUGCUGUCACUUAUAGAUGGAUCCGCGCCGCAUUAGCUAGUUGGUAAGGUAACGGCUUACCAAGGCAACGAUGCGUAGCCGACCUGAGAGGGGGAUCGGCCACACUGGAACUGAGAAACGGUCCAGACUCCUACGGGAGGCAGCAGUAGGGAAUCUUCCGCAAUGGGCGAAAGCCUGACGGAGCAACGCCGCGUGAGUGAUGAAGGUCUUCGGAUCGUAAAACUCUGUUAUUAGGGAAGAACAAAUGUGUAAGUAACUAUGCACGUCUUGACGGUACCUAAUCAGAAAGCCACGGCUAACUACGUG
rnacentral:rRNA from 1 species